GGUUUUAAUUUGCUUUAGGAUUUGUUAAGAAUUUGUUUAAGAUUUAGAGUUUGACCAGGAUUUUCUUAGGAUUUGAUUUAAGAUUUGUGUAGGAUUUAGGAUUUCAUUAGGAUUUCAAUGAAGAUUUGAUUUAGGAUUUGAUUAAGGUUUAAUUAGGGUUUUAAUUAGAAUUUGAUCUAGGAUUUGAUUUAAGAUUUGUUUAAGGUUCAAUUAGGAUUU
rnacentral:lncRNA from 1 species